AUAUUUAGUACAACUUUUCAUUUUAAUAUUUCAGAUUCUUUAGCCUGGAAUAGAUCCACCGUACACCUGAAAUCUUCGGUCCAACAUUUCCCACCAACAGAUCGUAUUCGCAGGGGGGGGGCCAAUGUUGGUCAGAUUCCCCAACGUAAUGUAUUCAUUAGAAAACGUUAACUCUAAAGAACCAGACCCUAUUCUACGGUUUCAUUCCGACCGAAGUGUCCGACCCCCCCAAUCACCCGGUACCAUCCCAUUUAGGGUUUCAAAUGUAUACAAUACGUUCAUCAGGAAUACGACUGAGAUUGGGUCUCCCGCAAAAAAAAAGAAAAGCCAUGACAGACGAAAGCAAGUAACGCCCUCUGUUGGAACUGGUUCAAAAUACUGGAAACUUAAACCAAUAUACAUGUAGAUUGGUCGAAUAUGUAAAACGUUAAACUUAACUGUUAGUGUUAACCAGUAACAGGUUUUGAUAAGUAUUCCCAUAUUUUUUUCCCAAUGAAAUUUAUUUUGCAAAAAUAAAGAUUAUAACACUUGCGCAUGCAGCUUUCAGUCAGAAGAAAAAUACUUAACUCUUUGUCCAAUGCAUAGCGUUCGUUAAAGAAACACGACCGAGUUAUCGCUUAGCUAGCAACAUGAAAGUCACAAUGAUUGGAUAGUUGCACUGUGUAUAUGAUAUUUCUAAACAUAAUAAGUUCCAAAUAAACACAGCUAUUCCAAAACAGGAAUGGGGAGCAAUCCUUCAUCAUAAACACUAUACGUCGGCUCAGUGCCAGAGGGUCUUUACAGCAAAAAUGUAAUUUUGAAAAUACUUUUAGGGUCUUACUCUGAGCAUCCAAGAAAAACUGUAUUCAAACGGACUACGUUUGGGUUAUUUUAUCUAUUAAACUUGUUUUUUGGGGUCAAUACAUUUAAACAUCAACAAAUUUUGUCACCUGAUUUCAUGUUUAGACCAAUGUUUGCAAUAAGGAACUUUGAAUGUAAUUUUUAAGAACUUUUUAUCACUGACACGAAGGUCUGAUUCAAUUAAACAUGGUUGACUUAAGUGAGCCCUCUCGUACACAAAUUUUUCGAAACCAACUGAUGGGAUGUGUGAUUGGGGAUUAUACAAUGCAGACUCAGUCCAGCAGACGUUGAGAAAAAGAAAUGCAACAAAAAAGCACGAAAUAAUUCUGAAAGGGAAGUAGAAAUCUAAUAUGGUAAAAAUCAAAUUCAAAGUGAAAAAGGAAGAUUUAACAACCAAAUUUCAAUAUAUUGAAAACCACUUUAAUAUUGCAUUCAGACAGCUUGAGAAUACCAACCAUUCUUCACCACUGUUGCCAUCAAUUUCACUACUCUCUAUAGCCUUGAGGUUUGGGUGUAUCGAUACAUGCAUUGUCAACAUGCACCUUCCAGCCCAAACACAACACUCACAGCUUUAUGAACACAAUUGAUUUUUCCCUCACCGAAAAGCACAAACAAUGCAAUAUUUAUUAUCCUUAGUAUAUUUAGGCUAUAAAUAGUAAGUCAUCAAUAUUCAUGGCCUUGUUUAGACUUGCAGGCAAGGCAGUUUGCUCGGGUCAUGGCAAUGAUCUCGUGGUGCUAUGCUCGACAAGAGACUACAAGCCGGUAGCUGGUGUGUGUACCAAUGACUUGCAAACGAAUGUUGCUUGUGAUCUCAUCCAUCACUCUGCAGUCGUGUGUUUAUUUGAACUACAUGUAGCACGUUUUACAUCUUGUUCAACUGGCAAACAGGCAGUCAAUGUGAUAGAGAUACAUCAUCAGUACGUCGAAUCAUCCUCACAUCCAGGCCGUGACUCGUCUCAGGGAGGAUUUGCCGAUGUAUUAACAAGCAUCGUUGUAACACGUUAAUGGAGAAAUGAGGAUGGUAGGUCUAUCCGUCUGCUGAAAUCUUAUCCCAAUCCCUGUCUCUGCUACCACUGUACCAGGAGCGCUGGAUAAUGGAGCUUCCUUGAAGCAACUCAUCAUUGUCUAAGUGACAACCUCGAAGUCUGUCUCUCUUGGAUGCAACUAGCAACUCAUCCAGGAAUAGGUCACUGAAUGGGAACGGAUACUGCAACGGUACAGCCAAGGCAAACCAAACGGUAAGCCUCGUUCCUGCUGCAAGGAUAAGCACCCGAAGGGCCACUGAUAAUCCAAACUAUCGGUCAGGAAGAGAAAGAGAGAAUAAACUACCGAUCGCUGACAGGCUGAAUCCUGCAGUUUUGCCAGUCGUGAAGUGUUUUGCUGUUCAACUCUUUGACCGGUCAGCCAGACACCUGGGCCGAGAAAACCAUUUGGCUGGUGGGGGCUUAAUCAAACCUGUAAUUGUCUUUUGUGACAUUGUUCAUGAGCUGAGUGGGCUUUGCUAGCUCGAGCAACUGAGACGAACCCUGCAGAGGUCGCUGAAGAUAAUUCCUUGGCAGAUGGUCAUGUCAUUCAGUUUAAAUGCCUCUGACUGGCUUGCCUCCUUCCAUGACGUGGUUAUUAUUACUCUAAACAAAUGAUAUAAACUUGGGCUACAUUUCAUUUCAAGCCAGUCAUGCUUCAUCAUUGAGUUGAACGUGACACGUGAUAAUAUAGGUUACCAGAAAUUCAUCUGGAAAAACUUGCUAUUUUGAGGCAAAUUCCAACCACUUCUGACGGUCCUGCUGCUGAUUACAUAAUACUUUUGGAUUUUACAAAAUGGUGACUAAAAGGCUCACAGUUUACCCAAAGUGACCAGCCUUUGUCUGUCAAUGCUACGACAGCACGUCAUCAGACUGACCCUACAUGAGUCGAGAAAAGACUCCUUGCAAUUAUCCUUGUAAGCAAUUUCCACAGAGAGUGCUCCCACGCAGUACAGUCUCCUUCAUUAACAACCGAUGUAAUUGGAGUUGUGACUAGACUGACUACAUCUGCAUCCCACUUUGUAUUGAGGACUAUCUCCCUGGAGGAACAAUCAGCAGUAUUUGCAACAUCAUCAUCACUGGAACUUAUAAGACGCAAGGCGAGGAGCAGUCACAAAUUUAAUUUUCUGUCUACAGAU